rnacentral:rRNA from 1 species
UCAGGAUGAACGCUAGCGGCAGGCUAACACAUGCAAGUCGAGGGGCAACGCGAGUAGCAAUACUUGGCGGCGACCGGCGCAAGGGUGCGUAACGCGUGAGCAACAUGCCCGUAUCAGGGGGAUAAUCCAGGGAAACUUGGUCUAAUACCCCAUAGUAAUUUUGUAAGGCAUCUUAUAAGAUUUAAAGCUUUGGUGGAUACGGAUUGGCUCGCGUGACAUUAGCUGGAUGGUAAGGUAACGGCUUACCAUGGCUAUGAUGUCUAGGGGUUCUGAGAGGAAGGUCCCCCCACACUGGAACUGAGACACGGUCCAGACUCCUACGGGAGGCAGCAGUGAGGAAUAUUGGACAAUGGAUGGAAAUCUGAUCCAGCCAUGCCGCGUGAAGGAAAGAAGGUCCUAUGGAUUGUAAACUUCUUUUGUAUGGGAGCAAUAAGGCCUACGAGUAGGUUGAUGAGAGUACCAUACGAAUAAGCACCGGCUAACUCCGUGCCAGCAGCCGC